rnacentral:rRNA from 1 species
GACGAACCGUACGAACGUUAUUCGGAAUUACUGGGCUUAAAGGGUGCGUAGGCUGCGCGGUAAGUUGGGUGUGAAAUCCCUCGGCUCAACCGAGGAACUGCGCUCAAAACUACCGUGCUCGAGGGAGACAGAGGUGAGCGGAACUUAGGGUGGAGCGGUGAAAUGCGUUGAUAUCCUAAGGAACACCCGUGGCGAAAGCGGCUCACUGGGUCUCUUCUGACGCUGAGGCACGAAAGCUAGGGUAGCGAACGGG